rnacentral:rRNA from 1 species
GAUGAACGCUGGCGGCGUGCUUAACACAUGCAAGUCGAACGAUGAAGCCCAGCUUGCUGGGUGGAUUAGUGGCGAACGGGUGAGUAACACGUGAGUAACUUGCCCUUAACUCUGGGUUAAGCCUGGGAAACUGGGCCUAAUACCGGUUAGGAGCGCCUACCGCAUGGUGGGUGUUGGGAAGAUUUAUCGGUUUUGGAUGGACUCGCGGCUUAUCAGCUUGGUUGUGGGGUAAUGGCUCACCAAGGCGACGACGGAUAGCCGGCCUGAGAGGGUGGCCAGCGACAAUGGUACUGAGACACGGCCCAGACUCCUACGGUAGGCAGCAGUGGAGAGUAUUGCACAACGGGCGAGAGCCUGAUGCAGCGAUGCCGCGUGUGGGAUGACGGCCUUCGGGUGGUAAACCUCUUUCAGUAGGGACGAAGCGGAAGUGACGGUACCUGCAGAAGAAGCACCGGCUAACUACGUG